rnacentral:misc_RNA from 1 species
CCUUAAAGAACCUGCCUUUGCAGUGCUCACACAGAUUGUCUGAUGAACGUAAAGAAGCAAGGCGUCUUGCGAUUGAGACUUCAGUGUCCCCUUCGUCUAGAGGCCCAGGACACCGCCCUUUCACGGCGGUAACAGGGGUUCGAAUCCCCUAGGGGACACCACUUGCUGGUUCGUGAGUGAAAGACGCGUGCCGAUGUAUCUCAAAACUCAUCUUCGGGUGAUGUUUGAGAUAUUUGCUCUUUAAAAAUCUGGAUCAAGCUGAAAAUUUAAACGACACACAGUCAAUGUGUGUUCGAGUCUCUCAAAUUUUCGCAAUCAGAAGUGAAACAUCUUCGGGUUGUGA